rnacentral:misc_RNA from 1 species
UAGCGUGUACGAGAGAUGGCAGCCGAGCCACGCGGCGCC